rnacentral:rRNA from 1 species
AUUGAACGCUGGCGGCAGGCCUAACACAUGCAAGUCGAGCGGCAGCGGGAAAGUAGCUUGCUACUUUUGCCGGCGAGCGGCGGACGGGUGAGUAAUGCCUGGGAAAUUGCCCAGUCGAGGGGGAUAACAGUUGGGAACGACUGCUAAUACCGCAUACGCCCUACGGGGGAAGGAGGGGGACCUCCGGGCCUUGCGCGUUUGGAUAUGCCAAGGUGGGAUUGGCUAGUUGGUGAGGUAAUGGCUCACCAAGGCGACGAUCCCUAGCUGGUUUGAGAGGAUGAUCAGCCACACUGGAACUGAGACACGGUCCAGACUCCUACGGGAGGCAGCAGUGGGGAAUAUUGCACAAUGGGGGAAACCCUGAUGCAGCCAUGCCGCGUGUGUGAAGAAGGCCUUCGGGUUGUAAAGCACUUUCAGCGAGGAGGAAAGGUUGAUGCCUAAUACGUAUCAACUGUGACGUUACUCGCAGAAGAAGCACCGGCUAACUCCGUGCCAGCCGCCGCAGUAA